GACGAACGCUGGCGGCGUGCUUAACACAUGCAAGUCGAACGGAAAGGGCCUGCUUUUGUGUGGUGCUCGCGUGGCGAACGGGUGAGUAACACGUGAGUAACCUGCCCUUGACGUUGGGAUGUCUUCAGGAAAGUGGGGAUAAUACCGGCUAGGAGCUCCUGCUGCUUGGUGGGGGUUGGAAAGUUUCGGCGGUUGGGGAUGGACUCGGGGCUUAUCAGCUUGUUGGGGGGGUAGUGGCCUACGAAGGGUUUGACGGGUAGUCCGCCUGGAAGGGUGACCGGGGACAUUGGGCCUGUGAGACGGCCCAGAGGCCUACGGGAGACAGCAGUGGAGAAGAUUGUACAAUGGGCGGAAGCCUGUUGCAGCGACCCCGCGUGUGGGAUGACGGCCUUGGUGUGGUGAACCGCUGUCGCCUGGGACGAAGCGUGGGUGACGGUAAUGGGUAAAGAAGCACCGGCUAACUACGUG
rnacentral:rRNA from 1 species